rnacentral:rRNA from 1 species
GACGAACGCUGGCGGCGUGCUUAACACAUGCAAGUCGAACGGAAAGGCCCUGCUUUUGUGUGGUGCUCGAGUGGCGAACGGGUGAGUAACACGUGAGUAACCUGCCCUUGACUUUGGGAUAACUUCAGGAAACUGGGGCUAAUACCGGAUAGGAGCUCCUGCUGCAUGGUGGGGGUUGGAAAGUUUCGGCGGUUGGGGAUGGACUCGCGGCUUAUCAGCUUGUUGGUGGGGUAGUGGCUUACCAAGGCUUUGACGGGUAGCCGGCCUGAGAGGGUGACCGGCCACAUUGGGACUGAGAUACGGCCCAGACUCCUACGGGCGGCAGCAGUGGGGAAUAUUGCCCAAUGGGCGGAAGCCUGAUGCAGCAACGCCGCGUGCGGGAUGACGGCCUUCGGGUUGUAAACCGCUUUCGCCUGUGACGAAGCGUGAGUGACGGUAAUGGGUAAAGAAGCACCGGCUAACUACGUG